GUGCCAGCCGCCGCGGUAAUACGUAGGGGGCAAGCGUUGUCCGGAAUUAUUGGGCGUAAAGCGCGCGCAGGCGGUUCCUUAAGUCUGAUGUGAAAGGCCACAGCUCAACUGUGGAGGGCCGUUGGAAACUGGGGAACUUGAGGACAGAAGAGGAGAGCGGAAUCCCACGUGUAGCGGUGAAAUGCGUAGAUAUGUGGAGGAACACCAGUGGCGAAGGCGGCUCUCUGGUCUGUAACUGACGCUGAGGCGCGAAAGCAUGGGUAGCGAACAGGAUUAGAAACCCCCGUAGUCC
rnacentral:rRNA from 1 species